rnacentral:rRNA from 1 species
GACGAACGCUGGCGGCGUGCUUAACACAUGCAAGUCGAACGGAAAGGCCCCUUUGGGGGUACUCGAGUGGCGAACGGGUGCGUAACACGUGAGUAACCUGCCCUUGACUUCGGGAUAACUUCAGGAAACUGGGGCUAAUACCGGAUAGGAAUCCUUGCUGCAUGGUGGGGGUUGGAAAGCUUCGGCGGUUUUGGAUGGACUCGCGGCUUAUCAGCUUGUUGGUGGGGUAGUGGCUUACCAAGGCUUUGACGGGUAGCCGGCCUGAGAGGGCGACCGGCCACAUUGGGACUGAGAUACGGCCCAGACUCCUACGGGAGGCAGCAGUGGGGAAUAUUGCACAAUGGGCGGAAGCCUGAUGCAGCAACGCCGCGUGCGGGAUGACGGCCUUCGGGUUGUAAACCGCUUUCAGCAGGGGCGAAGCUUUUGUGACGGUACCUGCAGAAGAAGCACCGGCUAACCACGUG